rnacentral:rRNA from 1 species
GGUUAAGCGACUAAGCGUACACGGUGGAUGCCCUGGCAGUCAGAGGCGAUGAAGGACGUGCUAAUCUGCGAUAAGCGUCGGUAAGGUGAUAUGAACCGUUAUAACCGGCGAUUUCCGAAUGGGGAAACCCAGUGUGAUUCGUCACACUAUCAUUAACUGAAUCCAUAGGUUAAUGAGGCGAACCGGGGGAACUGAAACAUCUAAGUACCCCGAGGAAAAGAAAUCAACCGAGAUUCCCCCAGUAGCGGCGAGCGAACGGGGAGCAGCCCAGAGCCUGAAUCAGUGUGUGUGUUAGUGGAAGCGUCUGGAAAGGCGCGCGAUACAGGGUGACAGCCCCGUACACAAAAAUGCACAUGCUGUGAGCUCGAUGAGUAGGGCGGGACACGUGGUAUCCUGUCUGAAUAUGGGGGGACCAUCCUCCAAGGCUAAAUACUCCUGACUGACCGAUAGUGAACCAGUACCGUGAGGGAAAGGCGAAAAGAACCCCGGCGAGGGGAGUGAAAAAGAACCUGAAACCGUGUACGUACAAGCAGUGGGAGCACAGAGCAAUCUGUGUGACUGCGUACCUUUUGUAUAAUGGGUCAGCGACUUAUAUUCUGUAGCAAGGUUAACCGAAUAGGGGAGCCGAAGGGAAACCGAGUCUUAACUGGGCGUUAAGUUGCAGGGUAUAGACCCGAAACCCGGUGAUCUAGCCAUGGGCAGGUUGAAGGUUGGGUAACACUAACUGGAGGACCGAACCGACUAAUGUUGAAAAAUUAGCGGAUGACUUGUGGCUGGGGGUGAAAGGCCAAUCAAACCGGGAGAUAGCUGGUUCUCCCCGAAAGCUAUUUAGGUAGCGCCUCGUGAAUUCAUCUCCGGGGGUAGAGCACUGUUUCGGCAAGGGGGUCAUCCCGACUUACCAACCCGAUGCAAACUGCGAAUACCGGAGAAUGUUAUCACGGGAGACACACGGCGGGUGCUAACGUCCGUCGUGAAGAGGGAAACAACCCAGACCGCCAGCUAAGGUCCCAAAGUCAUGGUUAAGUGGGAAACGAUGUGGGAAGGCCCAGACAGCCAGGAUGUUGGCUUAGAAGCAGCCAUCAUUUAAAGAAAGCGUAAUAGCUCACUGGUCGAGUCGGCCUGCGCGGAAGAUGUAACGGGGCUAAACCAUGCACCGAAGCUGCGGCAGCGACACUGUGUGUUGUUGGGUAGGGGAGCGUUCUGUAAGCCUGCGAAGGUGUGCUGUGAGGCAUGCUGGAGGUAUCAGAAGUGCGAAUGCUGACAUAAGUAACGAUAAAGCGGGUGAAAAGCCCGCUCGCCGGAAGACCAAGGGUUCCUGUCCAACGUUAAUCGGGGCAGGGUGAGUCGACCCCUAAGGCGAGGCCGAAAGGCGUAGUCGAUGGGAAACAGGUUAAUAUUCCUGUACUUGGUGUUACUGCGAAGGGGGGACGGAGAAGGCUAUGUUGGCCGGGCGACGGUUGUCCCGGUUUAAGCGUGUAGGCUGGUUUUCCAGGCAAAUCCGGAAAAUCAAGGCUGAGGCGUGAUGACGAGGCACUACGGUGCUGAAGCAACAAAUGCCCUGCUUCCAGGAAAAGCCUCUAAGCAUCAGGUAACAUCAAAUCGUACCCCAAACCGACACAGGUGGUCAGGUAGAGAAUACCAAGGCGCUUGAGAGAACUCGGGUGAAGGAACUAGGCAAAAUGGUGCCGUAACUUCGGGAGAAGGCACGCUGAUAUGUAGGUGAAGUCCCUCGCGGAUGGAGCUGAAAUCAGUCGAAGAUACCAGCUGGCUGCAACUGUUUAUUAAAAACACAGCACUGUGCAAACACGAAAGUGGACGUAUACGGUGUGACGCCUGCCCGGUGCCGGAAGGUUAAUUGAUGGGGUUAGCGCAAGCGAAGCUCUUGAUCGAAGCCCCGGUAAACGGCGGCCGUAACUAUAACGGUCCUAAGGUAGCGAAAUUCCUUGUCGGGUAAGUUCCGACCUGCACGAAUGGCGUAAUGAUGGCCAGGCUGUCUCCACCCGAGACUCAGUGAAAUUGAACUCGCUGUGAAGAUGCAGUGUACCCGCGGCAAGACGGAAAGACCCCGUGAACCUUUACUAUAGCUUGACACUGAACAUUGAGCCUUGAUGUGUAGGAUAGGUGGGAGGCUUUGAAGUGUGGACGCCAGUCUGCAUGGAGCCGACCUUGAAAUACCACCCUUUAAUGUUUGAUGUUCUAACGUUGACCCGUAAUCCGGGUUGCGGACAGUGUCUGGUGGGUAGUUUGACUGGGGCGGUCUCCUCCUAAAGAGUAACGGAGGAGCACGAAGGUUGGCUAAUCCUGGUCGGACAUCAGGAGGUUAGUGCAAUGGCAUAAGCCAGCUUGACUGCGAGCGUGACGGCGCGAGCAGGUGCGAAAGCAGGUCAUAGUGAUCCGGUGGUUCUGAAUGGAAGGGCCAUCGCUCAACGGAUAAAAGGUACUCCGGGGAUAACAGGCUGAUACCGCCCAAGAGUUCAUAUCGACGGCGGUGUUUGGCACCUCGAUGUCGGCUCAUCACAUCCUGGGGCUGAAGUAGGUCCCAAGGGUAUGGCUGUUCGCCAUUUAAAGUGGUACGCGAGCUGGGUUUAGAACGUCGUGAGACAGUUCGGUCCCUAUCUGCCGUGGGCGCUGGAGAACUGAGGGGGGCUGCUCCUAGUACGAGAGGACCGGAGUGGACGCAUCACUGGUGUUCGGGUUGUCAUGCCAAUGGCACUGCCCGGUAGCUAAAUGCGGAAGAGAUAAGUGCUGAAAGCAUCUAAGCACGAAACUUGCCCCGAGAUGAGUUCUCCCUGACCCUUUAAGGGUCCUGAAGGAACGUUGAAGACGACGACGUUGAUAGGCCGGGUGUGUAAGCGCAGCGAUGCGUUGAGCUAACCGGUACUAAUGAACCGUGAGGCUUAACCUU